AUACUUACCUGGCAGGGAGAAUACCCCAAUCAAGAAAAUGGUUUCCCCAGGGUGAUGGUCUUCCAUUGCACACUUCAGUUGCAUUGACCCCUGUGAUUUCCCCAAAUAUGGGAAACUCAAGUCUUCCUCAAUAAUGUAGUGGUGAGUAUCCCCACCUG